AGAAACUUAGGAUUAAUUUAAACCGAAGGCCUUCAAAGCCUUAAACAAGAGU
rnacentral:tRNA from 1 species